rnacentral:rRNA from 1 species
UUUCCUACGGGGGGCAGCAGUGAGGAAUAUUGGUCAAUGGGCGGGAGCCUGAACCAGCCAAGUCGCGUGAGGGAUGACGGCCCUAUGGGUUGUAAACCUCUUUUGCCGGGGAGCAAAGUGCCGCACGUGUGCGGUUUGGAGAGUACCCGGAGAAAAAGCAUCGGCUAACUCCGUGCCAGCAGCCGCGGUAAUACGGAGGAUGCGAGCGUUAUCCGGAUUUAUUGGGUUUAAAGGGUGCGUAGGCGGACUGUUAAGUCAGCGGUAAAAGCCCGGGGCUCAACCCCGGCGAGCCGUUGAAACUGGCC